AUCCUGUUUGGUUUGUCUACAGUGAGUUUCAGCUAAUUCAUGAAUUGUGCUUAUAUGUACUAUCUUCAUCACAAAGGACAAAACUUAUACGAGCAACACUGGCAACAUUGCAUGCUUUUCUAUCAUGGAUUCCUCUGGGCUAUAUAUUUGAAUCCCUGCUGGUUUGUGCUUUAACAACUACGGAUCUAAAGAGUUAUUAGUGCUAAGUUACUUUUGGUUUCUAUAUUUUUCUGUAACAUUUUCCUUUAUCCGACUUUCUUAUCUCCCAUUAAUCUUAUGCAUUUGCUAAUGUUUUGUGGAUGUGAUAGCUGGAAACACUCCUAAAGUUCUUUCCCAUGGCAUUGUAUAGGAAUCUUAUUCUCCUGUGUUUAACAGAUGUUUCGUCCCUUCAAUUUGAAGAUUACUAUGACAUGCAAUAUGUUAAAAUGUACACUAUGUUCAUGAUGCAACUACCGGUAUCGUUCUGUUAUCAUUGCAUAUUUGCAUGUGUAUUAGUUCUAUAUCCAAAAUUGCUAUUUGUUUCCUUGAGUGUGCUCAAUGACACAUCAUCUAAUGUUCCAUAGAGUAUUCUCCCACUUGGAACGAAUACUCCUAAUUCUUAUGCAAAUGGGAAGAGCAGGUACUUCUUCAUUGCAUGGAAUUGCUGCAUGCAUGUAAACUCAUGAUGCCUCUGCUGCAUCUUCAUACUGAGAUUCUGAUGUGCCAUUGAGCAUGUCUGAUAUGCUUCUUUUGGUCCAUUCAGGCAUUUAUUCAAAAUCUAGCCCUUUUUUUCACUUCAUUUUACAAGGCAAGUUCCUCGGCUGUAUAGUGAAUAGAUAAUAUGAAUGCCAAGAUUUAAAAGGUUCCACUGUCGGCAUGCCGUUAUUCAGUCCAUUUUUAAUGUUCUUUGAGUGCUUGAGUAGUUUUAUUAAAACCAAACUAAA